rnacentral:rRNA from 1 species
CCUGCCGGACCUGACUGCUAUCGGAUUGAUACUAAGCCAUGCGAGUCUUUGUAGUAAUACAAGGCAGACGGCUCAGUAACACGUAGUCAACCUACCCUAUGGACGAGGAUAAUCUCGGGAAACUGAGCAUAAUUCUUGAUAGAUCAUAAUGCCUGGAAUGGUUUAUGGUUAAAAUGAUUCGUCGCCAUAGGAUGGGACUGCGGCCUAUCAGCUUGUUGGUGAGGUAAUGGCCCACCAAGGCGAUUACAGGUACGGGCUCUGAGAGGAGAAGCCCGGAGAUGGGUACUGAGACACGGACCCAGGCCCUAUGGGGCGCAGCAGGCGAGAAAACUUUGCAAUGUGCGAAAGCACGACAAGGUUAAUCCGAGUGAUUUCUGCUAAAGAAAUCUUUUGCCAGUCAUAAAACCACUGGUGAAUAAGGGGUGGGCAAGUUCUGGUGUCAGCCGCCGCGGUAAAACCAGCACCUCAAGUGGUCAGGAUGAUUAUUGGGCCUAAAGCAUCCGUAGCCGGCUUUGUAAGUUUUCGGUUAAAUCCAUGUGCUCAACGCAUGGGCUGCCGAAAAUACUGCAUGGCUAGGGAGUGGGAGAGGUAGACGGUACUCAGUAGGAAGGGGUAAAAUCCUUUGAUCUAUUGAUGACCACCUGUGGCGAAGGCGGUCUACCAGAACACGUUCGACGGUGAGGGAUGAAAGCUGGGGGAGCAAACCGGAUUAGAUACCCGGGUAGUCCCAGCUGUAAACGAUGCAGACUCGAUGAUGCAUUGGCAUAAUAGCCAGUGCAGUGUCGCAGGGAAGCCGUUAAGUCUGCCGCCUGGGAAGUACGUACGCAAGUAUGAAACUUAAAGGAAUUGGCGGGGGAGCACCACAAAGGGUGAAGCCUGCG